UACGUAGGGUGCAAGCGUUGUCCGGAAUUAUUGGGCGUAAAGAGCUCGUAGGCGGUUUGUCGCGUCUGCUGUGAAAAUCCAGGGCUUAACCCUGGACCUGCAGUGGGUACGGGCAGACUAGAGUGCGGUAGGGGAGAUCGGAAUUCCUGGUGUAGCGGUGAAAUGCGCAGAUAUCAGGAGGAACACCGGUGCGAAGGCGGAUCUCUGGGCCGUAACUGACGCUGAGGAGCGAAAGCAUGGGGAGCGAACAGG
rnacentral:rRNA from 1 species